GUGCGUCUGUUGAACUGUCAGCUGAUUGGUUGUCUUAGUCGCCUGUGGCUAGGUUGAUCAGCAAUACGGUUGUCGUGGUAACUGUGAGGCGCGGGAGAUAUUGGAUCUCGAAGCGGAAUCAUCCGAGGCUUGUUUGGUUAAGACAUCGAUCUCCUCGAAACUCCCCAGUUAAUGAUUAGUGGGUUUCAUUUCAGGGACCAUACCAUUCACCUGAGGGGAGAACAGAUGUCACGCCCUGUGUCUCAAAUCACACCCUUCUCAUUUUUAUAGUGCCCUUUUUUACCAGUAGGGCUUUGGUCAAAUGUAGUGUACUAUAUAAGACAUUGUUAUAUUUUUUUACAUUACAUAUUUUCAUUGUUCCUUUGAGCCACAU
ensembl:lncRNA